rnacentral:tRNA from 2 species
GGCAUCAGUGGUUUAGUGGUAAAAUCCAUCGUUGCCAUCGAUGGGCCCCGUGUUCGAUUCACGGCUGAUGCA